ensembl:lncRNA PPP1CB-DT PPP1CB divergent transcript
GGCUUUGCCGCGCGGAGGAAGUCCCGGUUACGCAGAGCGCGCUGGGGCAGGGCUGACCUUCCCCUUUCUCUACUUCACUGGCCUCCUCCAGACGUGGUGGUUGCGCCCUUUCGGCCUCGCUUUCCGUUUUUUGGCUUCAUCCCCUAGAUCUGCAAACAGUUCCUCGUGUUUCUUCCGUUAGCCGGGAAACGCGAACUGCAGCGUUUGGGACCCGGGUUUGCGCGUGUGGAAAGCAAAAGGGGUUACUCUGCUGGAGUUCGACAUUGCAAAUAAAGAUAAUGUCUGUGCCUAUCAGAUAAAGGCAAACCAGUGCUCAGAGGAACCCAACCAUCUCUGAAUUGAGACCAGAGAGCUGUCUCUAUGGAUAGUCCUUAGAGAAGGCAUUUCGGAACACAGUAAACAGCAGCCUGGUGACUCCGAUUACAGGGCCAGUUGCCUUUGUUACAAUAAAAGCAAGUCAUCUACACAGAUUUUUCCUACCAGGAAGAGCAUGUGCUGACCAACAGACAUGAAUUUCAGCCUGGUAGUUACAACAUUCACAGUAUACCCACAUCACUAAGCUGGGAGGCACAUUUUGAGACCCAGAAUCCUGACACCUCCAUGCCUUCAAAAGGACAAACUGCGGCCUGGACCAGCUGGUGAAACAUAAUUCUGAAUCCUGCCCACAGCCUUCGGUGGUUUUGGAUGAAAGGCCAGCGCCUUGGGAGCCCUGCGUUUGAUUUCAAGUUUUAAGGCCGGCACUGGUGGAGCAAUGAAUGGUGAAAGCUCUCCCCUUAAAGGAGCACAGUUGCCUUUAGGUGACUGCUAACUCAGGCUUUUGCUGAGGACAGUGUUUACUUUGUGAGCUUAAUGACAGGGCUGGCUUUCUGGGAGUGUUGCAAUGAAACAGACUCAGACACAGGCCAUCAUGGGCCUCCUCCCUAGCAAGGCCGCCACGGCUGGCAUCUCAAGAGCAGUCCGUUGAACUUGGGAUUUGGGUGUGAGACACAGUUUCAUCAGAAGAAUUUAAACCAAAGUCUACAUUUGCCCUCUAGAUAAAUGUGUGUGUUCAGCAGC